UACGUAGGGCGCAAGCGUUGUCCGGAAUUAUUGGGCGUAAAGAGCUCGUAGGCGGCUUGUCACGUCGGGUGUGAAAGCCCGGGGCUUAACCCCGGGUCUGCAUUCGAUACGGGCUAGCUAGAGUGUGGUAGGGGAGGUCGGAAUUCCUGGUGUAGCGGUGAAAUGCGCAGAUAUCAGGAGGAACACCGGUGGCGAAGGCGGAUCUCUGGGCCAUUACUGACGCUGAGGAGCGAAAGCGUGGGGAGCGAACAGG
rnacentral:rRNA from 1 species